AUUGAACGCUGGCGGCAGGCCUAACACAUGCAAGUCGAACGAGUGGCGGACGGGUGCGUAAUGUCUGGGAAACUGCCCGAUGGAGGGGGAUACCUACUGGAAACGGUAGCUAAUACCGCAUACCAUCGGAUGUGCCCAGAUGGGAUUCGAUCGUAGGUGGGGUAAAGGCUCACCUAGGCGACGAUCCCUACCUGGUCUGAGAUGAUGACGUGUCGCACUGGAACUGAGACACGGUCCGUACUCCUACGUGGGGCAGCGUUGGGUAAUAUUACACAGUGUUCGCAAGGCAGAUGCAGCCACGCCUCGUGUAGGACGAAGGCCUUCGGGUUGUAAAGUACUUUCAGCGAGGAGGCGUGACUCGCAGAAGAAGCACCGGCUAACUCCUUGCCAGCCGCCGCGGUAAUAC
rnacentral:rRNA from 1 species